rnacentral:rRNA from 1 species
AACGCUAGCUACAGGCUUAACACAUGCAAGUCGAGGGGCAGCAUGGUCUUAGCUUGCUAAGGCCGAUGGCGACCGGCGCACGGGUGAGUAACACGUAUCCAACCUGCCGUCUACUCUUGGACAGCCUUCUGAAAGGAAGAUUAAUACAAGAUGGCAUCAUGAGUCCGCAUGUUCACAUGAUUGAAGGUAUUCCGGUAGACGAUGGGGAUGCGUUCCAUUAGAUAGUAGGCGGGGUAACGGCCCACCUAGUCUUCGAUGGAUAGGGGUUCUGAGAGGAAGGUCCCCCACAUUGGAACUGAGACACGGUCCGAACUCCUACGGGAGGCAGCAGUGAGGAAUAUUGGUCAAUGGGCGAGAGCCUGAACCAGCCAAGUAGCGUGAAGGAUGACUGCCCUAUGGGUUGUAAACUUCUUUUAUAAAGGAAUAAAGUCGGGUAUGGAUACCCGUUUGCAUGUACUUUAUGAAUAAGGAUCGGCUAACUCCGUGCCAGCAGCCGCGGUAAUACGGAGGAUCCGAGCGUUAUCCGGAUUUAUUGGGUUUAAAGGGAGCGUAGAUGGAUGUUUAAGUCAGUUGUGAAAGUUUGCGGCUCAACCGUAAAAUUGCAGUUGAUACUGGAUAUCUUGAGUGUAGUUGAGGCAGGCGGAAUUCGUGGUGUAGCGGUGAAAUGCUUAGAUAUCACGAAGAACUCCGAUUG